rnacentral:ribozyme from 1 species
UCAUAUUGGCCCUCGUUCAACACGAGGUUAGGCCCCUGGAAGACGGGUAGCUAGCCAACACCCCCCGCCUUCCCUUUCAACUCACCAUAAACACUUCACCAGAUUGAAUAGCGCACGUUUCCAAUUCAAGCCUUUGGGCUUAG